AGACCCGAAACCCGGUGAUCUAGCCAUGGGCAGGUUGAAGGUUGGGUAACACUAACUGGAGGACCGAACCGACUAAUGUUGAAAAAUUAGCGGAUGACCUGUGGCUGGGGGUGAAAGGCCAAUCAAACCGGGAGAUAGCUGGUUCUCCCCGAAAGCUAUUUAGGUAGCGCCUCGUGAAUUCAUCUCCGGGGGUAGAGCACUGUUUCGGCUAGGGGGCCAUCCCGGCUUACCAACCCGAUGCAAACUGCGAAUACCGGAGAAUGUUAUCACGGGAGACACACGGCGGGUGCUAACGUCCGUCGUGAAGAGGGAAACAACCCAGACCGCCAGCUAAGGUCCCAAAGUCAUGGUUAAGUGGGAAACGAUGUGGGAAGGCCCAGACAGCCAGGAUGUUGGCUUAGAAGCAGCCAUCAUUUAAAGAAAGCGUAAUAGCUCACUGGUCGAGUCGGCCUGCGCGGAAGAUGUAACGGGGCUAAACCAUGCACCGAAGCUGCGGCAGCGACGUUUAUGCGUUGUUGGGUAGGGGAGCGUUCUGUAAGCCUGCGAAGGUGGCCUGUGAGGGUUGCUGGAGGUAUCAGAAGUGCGAAUGCUGACAUAAGUAACGAUAAAGCGGGUGAAAAGCCCGCUCGCCGGAAGACCAAG
rnacentral:rRNA from 1 species